rnacentral:rRNA from 1 species
GUAGGGAAUCUUCCACAAUGGACGCAAGUCUGAUGGAGCAACGCCGCGUGAGUGAAGAAGGUUUUCGGAUCGUAAAGCUCUGUUGUUGGUGAAGAAGGAUAGAGGCAGUAACUGGUCUUUAUUUGACGGUAAUCAACCAGAAAGUCACGGCUAACUACGUGCCAGCAGCCGCGGUAAUACGUAGGUGGCAAGCGUUGUCCGGAUUUAUUGGGCGUAAAGCGAGCGCAGGCGGAAUGAUAAGUCUGAUGUGAAAGCCCACGGCUCAACCGUGGAACUGCAUCGGAAACUGUCAUUCUUGAGUGCAGAAGAGGAGAGUGGAACUCCAUGUGUAGCGGUGGAAUGCGUAGAUAUAUGGAAGAACACCAGUGGCGAAGGCGGCUCUCUGGUCUGCAACUGACGCUGAGGCUCGAAAGCAUGGGUAGCGAACAGGAUUAGAAACCCGAGUAGUCC